UUCUUUCAGUCAGAGACCCAAACCCAACCACAAAACCCUAGCACUGUAAGCCUACACCACCGCCACAAGGAGUUUCAUACUGCCGCCGUCCGUCGCACUCAAAGUUCGCCAUCCGUCAUCUAGCGUCCCUCGUGCUCCAAAUCUUCAACCCCUGUUUGCUGUCACCGAUCGCGGUUGCUUCCUCGACCUCGGCGUCCGUCGUCUUUGUCUGCUCAGCCGCGCUUCCGUUGCCGUUUGUUUGCCGUUCACGUUCGCGUUUUCGAUCGCGUUCUUUGCCGUACGCGUUCGCUCGGCGUUCACCGUUCGCGUUCAAUCGCCGUUCACCGUUCGAGUUCGCGUGCGUCUGAAAGCCACGUUGCUCUGCUUCAAACUCUGCGACCAACCCGCGCGCUCCACACAGCCUUCAAACUGCUCUCUUUUGUCCCCGCCGUUUAGUGUGAUUAUUGGUUAAUAUUUUGUAAUGUUUGGUGCUGAAUGCUGAUUGUUGAGUUCAGAUAUGGUUGUUUAUUUUGAAUUGGGUAAAGAGACUUAUGGUCAUUUUUUCCUGCCUUAUACCAAUUCAGAUGAUUAUUUACAGAGGAUGAGCACUUAUUUAUGUAUCUUGAGAAACUGUCUUUGUGUGUUAUGAGCAUUUGGUGAAGCUUGUAUUGUACCUAUUAAAAGUUUAGUUUCACCAAAUGUUCUUCAAAGCAACUCAUCCAAAAUGCUGCUGCACAAACCCAAGUCUGUUGUCUCUUAAAGCCUGUGCCCAACUUCAUUUGGUGAAAACCUUUCUAGCACUAGUCCAAUACCAACUUUGUUAUUAAUAAUGUUAUCAAAUUUAUUUAUCCAAGUACUAUGCUUAUUUUUUAGUUGGAUUUAUGAUAAUUCAUUUGAUAUUCUUUCUAUUCUUGUCAGAUAUUUCUAUUCAGUUGAACCACUGGUUAGACCGGUUAGACCAAUAAACCAGUGAACUAGUGACUAGAACGGUUUAAUGACCGGUCCGGUUCUCAGAACCUUGGUAUAAUUACAAGUUGAAUUUGAAUGUUCAAACCAUAAUGUUGAAGUAUUCAUGGACGCAUUUAGAGCAGUAACUGAAGAGAGUGCAUAGCCUUUGAAAAGACUCGACACGAAACUCGAAAGAACACUUUUACAUUCAUAUCGUAAGGAAUUAACAUCCCAAGUUUCUGCUGAGACUGACCCUGUAUCCCUUCUGCCAAAAGUUGUGUCAUUACUUUAUAUCCAGGUUUAUAUGAUGGUAAAAGCUGAUGCUAGGGAAGCAGUGAUCACAAUUAUUAACAAAGAACAAAGAACGAGAGGGUGGACAGAUUGACAGAUCCCUAUUGAAAAACAUUGUAGAUAUAUUUGUUGAGGUUGGUCUCGGGAAGUUGGAUCAUUACGAGCAGGAUUUUGAGAUACAAAUGCUAGAUGAUAUAGCCAAUUACUACAAAAGCAAGUGCACAUUAUGGAUUGAGGUUGACUCCUUUCAAGAAUCUCUAUCGAAGGCAAAUGCAUCAAGAAUUGGCCCCUAGAUUUUGUGUUCUAUUGGUUGACCAGCUCUAAUAGUGUGUGUGUAGGCUCUGGAAUGCUUGGGAAAAGAGAAGAAUAGAGUAUCUCAUUAUUUGCACUCUAGCACUUGGCAAAAAUUGUAUAAGGUCGUCUUUUGACUUAUUCUUGAUUACAUGGAUUUACCUGAUGUUAACUGUUAUAUCUUUUGGUUCAUCAACUGCAUCUACAAUCACAUUCUGCAUUAUAAUGAUGUAAAACUAGGGUACUGUGCUGGUUAAACCUUGUUUUGAUGAUUAAUUUAAAUAUUAAUGAUAUUUUAAUUAGAUUCUGUUGUUUG